GUUGAUAAUGCACAUUAAAGACACUUGUUGAUCUUAAUAAAUAUUUUCAUUGCAUUGAGUGCAUUCUUAAUUGAAUUCCUUAGAAAUAAACUCUGCCAGCAUUUGCUUAAAAUUACUGUACAUAGCCCCCCCCCCUCCCCCCUUUUAUGGAAAAAAUUUGGUUGCUUAUAUAGGGAAUCACUGAAGCAUGACUGGAGAGGCCCCCCCCCUUAGGUCAGUCAGCGGGCCCCCUUAUGAAAAGUUCUGGAUCCGCCACUGCUGUGUAUAAUUAAAGAAUGGAUUGUACUGUUUCAAAGAUGUAUACAAGUGGUUGCUGUUGCUACUGCAUCACACACAUUAUUGUGUCCAUUUGCUUAACAUAAACAUGUAUUAUACCUCAAAUUUUAACACAAUAUAGUCAUACCCAAGGAUUUAUUUACUAUAUAUGCAUCUUUGCUAUAUCAAGCAGAUUGGUUGAUUUAUUGAUUGGUGUUAAAUGACACUUUCAGCACCAUUGUGCUUUUUCUUCGCAGUCAUUUAUUUUUGUGUGGGAAGCUGGAGUGCACAAGAGAGAACCCAUCAUGCAGGAUUCAAACUGCAAAACUCAGUGUUGACCAGCUAGUGAUAUUGCACUGCUGUAUAUAAAAAAGAUGUGGUAUGAUUGCCAAAGAGACAACUCGCCACAAGAGACCAAAUGACAAAAAAAUUAAAAACUAUUAGGUAACCGUACGGCCUUGAACAACAAGCAAAGCCAACCCCGCAUAGUCAUAAAAAGACCCCAAAAUGAUACUAGUUCACUCAGCCACUGAUGCCCCUUUAACAAGUAGAAGAUACCUAACAAACAAUGUUAACAUGACAAAUAAAAAAAAAUGAAAUUAGAGAAAAGUACACAAAGAAGAUAAACUGAAAGGACCUUCUUUUCUAAAGUAUACCGGUAAUUAGAUUAAUUGGAAUUUUGGUAGUAAAACCACUAUUUUCCCUUAAAAAGAUGAUAGCC
rnacentral:lncRNA from 1 species